rnacentral:tRNA from 1 species
GCCGCAUGUCUGGCAGCGGUAAGUCCCUGAACCUUUGACAUCACUAGAUAAUUUACGCCUUAAGCACUGCCUUCUAAGCAGUCGGUCGUGUGUUCGAAUCACACAGGGGGCG